GUACGGGGGGGGCAAGCGUUGUUCGGAAUUACUGGGCGUAAAGGGCUCGUAGGCGGCCAACUAAGUCAGACGUGAAAUCCCUCGGCUUAACCGGGGAACUGCGUCUGAUACUGGAUGGCUUGAGUUUGGGAGAGGGAGUGCGGAAUUCCACGUGUAGCGGUGAAAUGCGUAGAGAUGUGGAGGAACACCAGUGGCGAAGGCGGCUUUCUGGUCUGUAACUGACGCUGAGGCGCGAAAGCGUGGGGAGCAAACAGG
rnacentral:rRNA from 1 species